UUAGUAGAAGCUGAGAAAUUAGUGAUGCUUAACAAGAGACCAGCAUCAUGAGGAGAAAUCUUCUGGAAAGCAUUUCCUGAGAGUCAGCACACAGAAACUGUGUUCCAGACAUGGCCAAAGUUGUACCUUGUGCUGGCAGCUGAACUUGGCAGUUGUAAGAGUCACCCAGAAGGUGCUGGUUUUGAAGUUGUGAAGGGGUCAUGGGGAGCAGCUGAGGCUUGGCAGUGUGUGGCAGGGCUGGAGUCCCCGAAGAGGGCCCAGAAAAAGCUACUGGUCAAAGUGCAGCCAGUUGCAGCGAGGAACCUCAGCAGUUUUGGAGAUGCCAGCACUACAGGAAGACCACAGAGGAGAGCAGCAGCAGUCGAGCAGAGCCAGUCACAACUAGAAGACAGACUGUGUGUGCUGCAGUGGAGGGCAGAGCUGGAGAAGUGACCCAAGCACCACGGAGGAACACAGAAAACUGAGUGAGUCCCAGACAACUGGACACCAUUGUGUCCUGCAGAGAGCACUCCAAGAAACCGGACAGCCCAAGCCUAACCAGAGGUGUUUCAAAUACAAAUGCUCCAUCAGUUUUGACAAACGUUUAAAAAUAAUGAGGACCUGAAGACCCUACCCUUCUCCUGAUUUAGUAGCUCUGUUCCAGGAACCAGGGGGCCAUAAAACCUUCUGGCGUCCCCUUAUCUCCUGGAGCCAUAAAACAAUCUUGUAACUUGUGGUACAUUCCCCUUUGACAUCCCCCAUCCCCUGGUGCUCACAGCCUCUGCCUUUAAAUACUCUUUUUCCCAGCCUCUCGGGGUCGACACCUCUGUCUCCUGCGUGGGAUAUGUGUCGGCCCGGAGAUCUCUGUAAUAGGUCUCCGUAAUAAACCUCGCCUUUGCUUAUUACAUCCAAAA